rnacentral:rRNA from 1 species
ACAUUUCUUUUAGAUUAAUUAAAAAGUAAAGUCUGCCCACUGUUUAAAAUAAAGGGCCGCGGUAUUUUGACCGUGCAAAGGUAGCAUAAUCAUUAGUCUCUUAAUUAGGGAAUGGAAUGAAUGGCUAAAUGAUUUUUUUCUUUUAUUAUUUUUGUUUUAAAAUUUUGAUUUUAAGUGAAAAUACUUAAAUGUAAUUAAAAGACGAUAAGACCCUAUAGAAUUUUAUUGGUUUGUAUUAUUUUAUUAUUUAACUAGUUUAAUUGGGGCAUUUUUAGAAUAAAUUAAAUUUCUUUAAUUUAAAAAAAAAUUAAAAUUAUCUUUAUUAAUAAAUUUUUAAAAAAUUACCUUAGGGAUAACAGCGUUAUUAAUUUUGAGAGUUCAUAUCGACAAAUUAGUUUGCGACCUCGAUGUUGAAUUAAAAUGUCUAAAUGGAGCAAAAUUUAUUUAAGAUAGUCUGUUCGACUAAAAGUUUUUUACAUGAUUUGAGU